rnacentral:rRNA from 1 species
UGCUUAACACAUGCAAGUCGAACGGUCUCUUCGGAGAUAGUGGCGGACGGGUGAGUAACGCGUAAGAAUCUACCUAUAGGUUCGGGACAACAGUUAGAAAUGACUGCUAAUACCGGAUAUGCCUUCGGGUGAAAGUUUUAAUGCCUGUAGAUGAGCUUGCGUCCGAUUAGCUAGAUGGAGUGGUAACGGCACACCAUGGCGACGAUCGGUAACUGGUCUGAGAGGAUGACCAGUCACACUGGAACUGAGACACGGUCCAGACUCCUACGGGAGGCAGCAGUGGGGAAUUUUCCGCAAUGGGCGAAAGCCUGACGGAGCAAUACCGCGUGAGGGACGAAGGUCUGUGGAUUGUAAACCUCUUUUGUUAGGGAAGAUAAUGACGGUACCUAACGAAUAAGCAUCGGCUAACUCCGUGCCAGCAGCCGCGGUAAGACGGAGGAUGCAAGCGUUAUCCGGAAUUAUUGGGCGUAAAGCGUACGUAGGCUGUUAGAUAAGUCUGUUGUCAAAGAGCGAGGCUUAACCUCGUAAAGGCAAUGGAAACUGUCUGACUAGAGAGAGAAAGGGGCAGGAGGAAUUCCAGGUGUAGCGGUGAAAUGCGUAGAUAUCUGGAAGAACACCAGUGGCGAAAGCGUCCUGCUGGAUCUCAACUGACGCUGAAGUACGAAAGCUAGGGGAGCGAAUGGGAUUAGAUACCCCAGUAGUCCUAGCCGUAAACGAUGGGUACUAGGUGUUGGCCGUAUCGACCCGGUCAGUGCCGUAGCUAACGCGUUAAGCUACCCC